rnacentral:rRNA from 1 species
UACGAACUGCGCGAACGUUAUUCGGAAUCACUGGGCUUACAGGGUGCGUAGGCGGCUUCUCAGGUCCGAUGUGAAAUCCCCCGGCUCAACCGGGGAAUGGCAUUGGAAACCGGGAAGCUCGAGUGAGCUAGAGGUGCACGGAACUUCCGGUGGAGCGGUGAAAUGUGUUGAGAUCGGAAGGAACACCAGAGGCGAAGGCGGUGCACUGGGGCUUGUCUGACGCUGAGGCACGAAAGCCAGGGGAGCGAACGGG